rnacentral:rRNA from 1 species
AACGUAGGGGACAAGCGUUAUCCGGAUUUACUGGGCGUAAAGCGCCCGUAGGCGGCCUGACAAGUUGGACGUGAAAGCUCCUGGCUUAACUGGGAGAGGCCGUUCAAAACUGUCAAGCUAGAGUCUGGAAGAGGAGAGCGGAAUUCCCGGUGUAGUGGUGGAAUGCGUAGAGAUCGGGAAGAACAUCGGUGGCGAAAGCGCUCUACUGGACGGUGACUGACACUCAGGGACGAAAGCUAGGGGAGCGAAUGGG